UGGGGAAUUUUGGACAAUGGGGGAAACCCUGAUACAGCCAUCCCGCGUGUGCGAUGAAGGCCUUCGGGUUGUAAAGCACUUUUGGCAGGAAAGAAACGUCAUGGGUUAAUACCCCGUGAAACUGACGGUACCUGCAGAAUAAGCACCGGCUAACUACGUGCCAGCAGCCGCGGUAAUACGUAGGGUGCAAGCGUUAAUCGGAAUUCUGGGCGUAAAGCGUGCGCAGGCGGUUCGGAAAGAAAGAUGUGAAAUCCCAGAGCUCAACUUUGGAACUGCAUUUUUAACUACCGGGCUAGAGUGUGUCAGAGGGAGGUGGAAUUCCGCGUGUAGCAGUGAAAUGCGUAGAUAUGCGGAGGAACACCGAUGGCGAAGGCAGCCUCCUGGGAUAACACUGACGCUCAUGCACGAAAGCGUGGGGAGCAAACAGG
rnacentral:rRNA from 1 species